GGUGUGAUAUGUAUUAUGCAAAAGUAACGUGUGCUCACACCUUUAAAAAAAGACAGUUUCCAUCCCCUGUACGCCUCACCUCGGCGCCCUCUCUCCUGUCUGUGUGAUGAGCAGGGUAAGGCAGAACGGAGAACAGAUUUGUGAGCUACAGGUGGAGAUAGACAGGCCACUGACGCUACUGAAGGAUAAGAAGCGUGAGCUGCAAAGAAAGCUCCAGAGAUUGGCUGACAAAGAUGAACACAACCUGAGGAUGGAUCUGAGAUGUCUUCAGGAGCUGCAGGAGUAAAAAGCACCCUUCCAUACUGCCUCUGAGGCAAAGAGGCUUAGAUUUACCAGCGGAUGUCAUUUUCAUCCAAGCAGACGGGUCAGCAGACAGAAGAAGAGCGACAGGAAGAGAGACAA